rnacentral:rRNA from 1 species
UACGUAGGGUGCGAGCGUUGUCCGGAAUUAUUGGGCGUAAAGGGCUCGUAGGCGGUUUGUCGCGUCGGGAGUGAAAACACUGGGCUUAACUCAGUGCUUGCUUCCGAUACGGGCAGACUAGAGGUAUGCAGGGGAGAACGGAAUUCCUGGUGUAGCGGUGAAAUGCGCAGAUAUCAGGAGGAACACCGGUGGCGAAGGCGGUUCUCUGGGCAUUACCCGAGCGCUGAGGAGCGAAAGUGUGGGGAGCGAACAGG